UCGCCCUGCCGAAUUCUACGACCCGAGCGCAGCUCCUGCCGCCGAUCACCCUCCGCCGCCUCCCUCUCCCGCGGAGCUUGGAGGACCUCCAGUCCACCGGCCACCUACCUCCCCCAACGACGCCACCAUCCCCAUCGCCGUCCUCCCCUCCCCAACACCCUCGCACACCUCGAAGCCCUGAACGUGUUUGCACAUCCUCCAUGCUGUCUUGGAUGGCGUCGCUCCCCGCCUUACAGGCUUGGCCGCAGCCGCCUUCGAGCUCCAUGAGCGGACUGCACUGCAUCGACCCAUGUCGGCCUGGAUGGCGUCGCCCCGGCCCUCACCCUGCGGGCCUGGACGCCGCGGCCGCCGUCCUAGAGCUCCACGCACGGACUGCCCUGCAGCACCACGACGCCGCCACAACAACGCCAUGCUCGCAUACUUCGGUAGUCUGGAUUUAGCCGUUGUGCUCCACGCGCGGAAUUCGCUCCACGCGCGGAAUUCCCUGCCACUGACGCCCUCUUCCUCUCUAGCAUCGUGAUCUCCUGCUCCUUCCCAUGUUUGCCUCCCUUCCUUUCUAAUUUCUACAUGCAUGACUACUUCGACUCCCUGCAGGAUAAGUGUUUGUGAUAUUGACAAGAUGUCCGGUGCAUAACACACUGCUUUGACAAGUAUUUACAGGUUAAUAUUUUGAUAAAUUUGACAAGUACAUGAAAGUUCCUGGUGAAUGAACUCCUGCUGGAACCAAGCCACCCUCGAGGUUGUUGAAGAGGCAUGCACUGAACUCCUUAUAAAUAUUCUGUGCAAAUACCUAUACGACCUAUCUGAAAUGUUCACAAGGUGGUAGGAUCAAAGGAGGAGCUGAGCCGGGUGCUGCUCGGUGAAGCGACUGUGAUCGUCAUGCGAAAGAUGUUCCAACUGUUGGGGAUCACACCGGUUUACAAGCUGUGGUCGACCAUUGUUUGAUCCUUACAACACACGUCCUCCCAAACUACUCGUCAUGGAACACAUGACGCCAGUCUGGAUGCCGCCGCUUCGUCCAUGCCAGGCACGAUUCAAGAAUAAGCAGAUAUUUGGAUCAAGACGGAGAUUGCCGAGCUGCUUAACUUGGGAAUGCACCUCCAGAGAUCAGAGCAUUUCUCACCACGAUGACAAGAUGUAGUCUCCA